UAGCUUGUUGACCUCAGGAACCAUAC
rnacentral:piRNA from 1 species